AGAGUUUGAUCAUGGCUCAGAUUGAACGCUGGCGGCAGGCUUAACACAUGCAAGUCGAGCGGGGAAAGGUAGCUUGCUACCUGACUUAGCGGCGGACGGGUGAGUAAUACUUAGGAAUCUGCCUAUUAGUGGGGGACAACAUUUCGAAAGGAAUGCUAAUACCGCAUACGCCCUACGGGGGAAAGCAGGGGAUCACUUGUGACCUUGCGCUAAUAGAUGAGCCUAAGUCGGAUUAGCUAGUUGGUGGGGUAAAGGCCUACCAAGGCGACGAUCUGUAGCGGGUCUGAGAGGAUGAUCCGCCACACUGGGACUGAGACACGGCCCAGACUCCUACGGGAGGCAGCAGUGGGGAAUAUUGGACAAUGGGGGGAACCCUGAUCCAGCCAUGCCGCGUGUGUGAAGAAGGCCUUUUGGUUGUAAAGCACUUUAAGCGAGGAGGAGGCUCUUCUAGUUAAUACCUAGGAUGAGUGGACGUUACUCGCAGAAUAAGCACCGGCUAACUCUGUGCCAGCAGCCGCGGUAAUACAGAGGGUGCAAGCGUUAAUCGGAUUUACUGGGCGUAAAGCGUGCGUAGGUGGCCAAUUAAGUCAAAUGUGAAAUCCCCGAGCUUAACUUGGGAAUUGCAUUCGAUACUGGUUGGCUAGAGUAUGGGAGAGGAUGGUAGAAUUCCAGGUGUAGCGGUGAAAUGCGUAGAGAUCUGGAGGAAUACCGAUGGCGAAGGCGGCCAUCUGGCCUAAUACUGACACUGAGG
rnacentral:rRNA from 1 species